ACACAUCGAGGGCACAGCGAAGGGAGGGGGCAGCGCAAUAUCGGCCCACGGGCGCGAUGCUCCAUAGAAGUGCGGUUCUGGCUCGCAGGAGCCCCUGCGACUUUGACAGCUGUCGCUUUGGCUGCACAGGAGACGAAUCGCCCUCCUUUUGGUGCCAGAAGAAGCAGGAAAUUAGCCAGGUUGCAAGUUGAAAAUCUGCCACGCCAGUGCUUUGAAUCCAAUAUGCCACACCUUCCAGCGGGGGAACUGGAAAUUGCCAUCCCGGAUCUGUGUUCUAGGCGGCUGCUUAUGCCGAACCUCCGCACACUUUGUUCACUAUAGCCUUACAAAGAGCAAAUGAAAUGGGGAUUGAAAGCCAGAGAGAUCCGAAGCAGGACAGAGCUCAGCAAAAGAAUGCGGCUCUAUUCUCGCAAGGGAAAUUAUAAAAAAGUUCAUGUUCACGGUUACCAUCCACAUGACCGACGACGACCAAUGGAAAAACCGAACAACUCAUAAAGUUGUAUUGCAAAGUUGUAAAUUUUCAUAAACAACAACGGAUUUAUGGCCUUUUCCUCAUCACUAAGAAGAGGCAGGUCUUAGAGAGGCGCCAUCUUACCACAGAGGCAGCCCCGGAGUUUUUUUUUUUUUCCAGCAGACCUGAAGUUCGCACUAAUUUUAUUAAGAUUGCAAUUAGUCCAUCGGCGGGGACGGAGCGCGGCGGUGAAGGGGAACUUCAGCUCAGACGACGCUCCCGUUCUACUCUGCGUUCGGCCGCCCGAAUAAAGGCGCUUUUCGUGUUUUUUUAUUUUUUUUAAUUAUUUUAUAUUUUUUUAAUUUAAAAUUUUUCACUUUUCAUUCCCGACCUUUUUUUCCCCCCAUCACUGAAAACACUUUCUCGCCUCGACGUCGAGUGGUACGCAGCAGAACGGAUAGCUUUCCCGAAGCGGGGUUGUUUUUCCCCCCCUUUUUUUUCUUUUUAGCCCCAUUCCCGUGCCCCCCCGGCCUCGGAAAGCCGCCCGUCCUCAGCCGAGCGUUCACCCCGGGAAGUUUCGCCCCUCACUUUUUGCUCUUUCCCAUAUCUGGUUUCCCUACGUGCGAAUGGGGCUCCGUCACGGCCGCCUGGGCCGGGCUCGGGCUUUCUGGAGGAGCACGGUGGAAGGAAGCCCUGCCAUAAAGAAGCUUUCCGCUUUAUUAAUCAACCGCGCCGGGAGAAAUAAAGAUAUUAAUUUAGGGGGGAAAAAAAAAGAAAAAAAAAAAAGAAAGAAAAACCACGAAGUCCAGAUAGAGAAAUUGACUGAUUGCCGCCCAUUCGUCACCUCGGAUUAUUUUAUUCUUUUCGAUCAUGGGGGAAAAAAAUAAUAAUAAUAACCAUGUGGUCGAAUUUCUUUAGUGGUGCGUCUUCAUUAUUUUUUACCCUUCCUUCGAACUGCUUCCCUCAUAAUAAAAAAAGGCACAAUUAAUUGUCAACAAGCAUCUUUAUUUUCCGUGUGACAUAGAACACAUUUAUCGUGGGGGAUACUUGAACACGGGAUCACUUCCAAAGAGAGUUCACAGACAUUUUCUUUUUUUCUCCACUUCCAAUACUUACACGGCAUAUCCAAAUGUUCACAACGAACACAUCGAAACACAUCGUAACAUACAGUUGUUUGAAUAAACUUUAGCCAAACCUUCGAGACGGAUUUAUACAGAGAUCUGAACGAUACGUCAUGCGACAAAGUUUCCCAAUUAAUUACAUACUUCCCAAUUUAUGACGUGGUCUUACAAAUGAGCUCCGAGACAAAUAUAAAUGACAAAGAGAAAAAAAAAAUCGUUCAAAUAUACAAUAUCUGCUAUCUUAGGAAAAUUCACGGUAUUACGUAUUAACACGUUGGGAUCGUCAGGACGAACAGAUAUUUGAAAGGCGGUUACAUGGUCGUUUAAAUUCGCUUUGCCAAGAACACUUUCAGCUAUAUUGAGUAAGAUCAACCCAGGAUAAGGAAACGGCCUUGAGCGGAGGCAGCCUAAGGUAGAAGCCCACGGUAGAUAUUAAACCGCUUUAUACAAUAUUGGCGUGUGCGUCCGCUCCCUCACUCCGGAGAGUAAAGGUUCGCGGACAGAGAUAUAUUGCAGCAUAUGGUUUUCAUUAAUAAUUGCUUUGGAAUAAAUAUAUUAUUUUCAUUUUAAAUAUAUUCAGCCUUUACGGUACCAAAUUCUAUACCAAAGCUACGGAUGCGUGCUUUUCGAACGACUGCGCUUACGUGUCUAAAAGCAUUUUGCAAUUCACAUUAGUACGUUAUCUUCUUCUGACUACUAAAAUACAGCAUACUUUCGAAGAUAGGUAGGCGGAGCAAGAUAUAUAGGUAGUCUGAAAAAUAGGUAGUACGACUCAUUGCUGUGGAUUGUAGUGGUUUGUGGCACAUCUUCCCCCCCCCCCCCUUCGCUUGCUGUGUUACCUUUUGUUAGUGUAGCUGUUAGUUACGGUACUUUGCUAACAAUAAUUAAAAGAUAAAGGAAAAAGAAAAAAAGAAAAGUGCAGAGCUACUUCUUCAAAAUUAGGUAGUUUUUUUUUUUUUUCUUAAUGCGAGCCUAAUGCACUUUUCCCCUUACAACGUGAUUGGGACUAUUGAGUCAGGUAGUUACUUCGGAAGGUCACGGUGUACUUUAUGUGCAAGCAGCAGUCCUCCCACCGAAACGUCCCCAGGAGGAACCCACCCGAGAGCGGGCGAACGAAAACUCAAAUGAUUGUAGGAUGCCCUCAGGAUACGCUACCACGGGGCAGGUUUGGGGAGGACGGGAGAGGGGAGAGAGGGCUGGAAGUCCAACCCAAGAGACGUUUUCAUGUUUGCAAACGCCCGCUUGCGAGGCAGAACUAAAGGGAACUGAUUACUAUUUUUUUUUUUAAUAAAAACAGUGAGUGUCUCUCUCUCUCUCUUUUUUUUUUUU
rnacentral:lncRNA from 1 species